GAAUAUUAGUCAAUGCUCGAAAGAGUGAACUAGCUAACUGAAAUCAAUUAAAAUAAUUGAUAACAUAAGGGAAAAUAAUGAUAUUACCUUAUUAUUAGUGUCGUCCAAAACUGGUGCCAGAAGACUCGGUAAGGCCAGAGACACAAACGUUAAUCGUCUUAAUCAGGCGUAAAGGGUUUGUAGGCGGCUUUAAAAUUUAAUUAAUAAAUCUAAUUAUUAAGUAAAGAAUAAAAGCUAGAAUCAAAUAGAGGAUAUAUGAAAGAAUGCUUAGAGUAGGUCUGAUAUCCUUAGAUACUAAGUAGAAUAUUAAAGGCGAAAGCUUUUUUCCAUUAAUGAUUGACGCUCAGAAACGAAGGUGAGGAUAGGAAAUAGGAUUAGAUACCCAGAAUACCCCUCUCUGUCAACGAUGAAUGGUAGUUAUUAGUAAAAAUUAUUAAUGGCAAUGUUAACACGAUAACCAUUCCGCCUUGUGAGUACAACUGCAAAGUUGAAAACAAAAAAAUUAGUCGGUUUCGGAGCAAACGAAGUGAAGCAUGUUAUUUAAUUC
rnacentral:rRNA from 1 species